GACGAACGCUGGCGGCGUGCCUUACACAUGCAAGUCGAACGGUAACAGGUCUUCGGAUGCUGACGAGUGGCGAACGGGUGAGUAAUACAUCGGAACGUGCCCAGACGUGGGGGAUAACGAGGCGAAAGCUUUGCUAAUACCGCAUACGAUCUAAGGAUGAAAGCAGGGGACCGCAAGGCCUUGCGCGUUUUGAGCGGCCGAUGGCAGAUCAGGUAGUUGGUGGGAUAAAAGCUUACCAAGCCGACGAUCUGUAGCUGGUCUGAGAGGACGACCAGCCACACUGAGACUGAGACACGGCACAGACUCCUACGGGAGGCAGCAGUGGGGAAUUUUGGACAAUGGGCGAAAGCCUGAUCCAGCAAUGCCGCGUGCAGGAUGAGGGCCUUCGGGUUGUAAACUGCUUUUGUACGGAACGAAAGGCUCUGGCUAAUACCUGGGGCACAUGACGGUACCGUAAGAAUAAGCACCGGCUAACUACGUGCCAGCCGCCGCAGUAA
rnacentral:rRNA from 1 species